GUGUACAACUCACCUGCCGAAGCAACUAGCCCUGAAAAUGGAUGGCGCUGAAGCGUUUUGCCUAUACCCGGCCGCCGGCGGCAAAGGGCGCGCGCCUUCGGGUGCGCGUCGCCAAGCCCCGGUGAGUAGGAGGGUCGCGACGGUGUGCGCAGAAGGGUCUGGGCGUGAGCCUGCCUGGAGCCGCCGUCGGUGCAGAUCUUGGUGGUAGUAGCAUUACGGAACCUGGUUGCGGAGCCGCAAACACGAUCCUCGUAUUGACGCGGUAACGCGAAAGACCCCAGAGAUGCCGUCUGGAGCCCCGGGAAGAGUUUUCUUUUCUGCCUGAGCGUUCGGGCUCCGUGGAAUCCUCUCGCAGGGAGAUACGGAGUGGAACGCGAAGAGCACCGCAGUUGCUGCGGUGUCCGGGGAGUCCCGUCGGCCCUUGAAAAUCUGGGUGAGGGUCACGUGGAGGAGUCGCACCAGCUCGUACCCAUAUCCGCAGCAGU
rnacentral:rRNA from 1 species